rnacentral:lncRNA from 1 species
CAUCCUCGGACCUCAUAGUUGUGCAAAAGAUAAAGUUAGUUGAAAAAAAAACAUCGAAGUGAAAAACAAACCCACUUACUUGCAAGAUCAGUCGGGCUCAACCCAACCUUGAACAAGUUCUCCUCGGUUAGGAGCUUGGAGAGCGGAGAGGGAGUGAGACUGAAGAUCUAUGCUAGUGACUCCUCCUAGGUGUCUGAAAGGAUAGGAGCUCUGAUCACCGACCUCUGAGGUCGACCCCAUGAUG